rnacentral:rRNA from 1 species
CCUACGGGAGGCAGCAGUGAGGAAUAUUGGUCAAUGGCCGGAAGGCUGAACCAGCCAUGCCGCGUGAAGGUCAGUGCCCUAUGGGCGUUAAACUUCUUUUGUGCGGGAGCAAUAAUGGUCACGUGUGACCAGACGAGAGUACCGUACGAAUAAGCAUCGGCUAACUCCGUGCCAGCAGCCGCGGUAAUACGGGGGAUGCAAGCGUUAUCCGGAUUUAUUGGGUUUAAAGGGUGCGUAGGCUGGGAGGUAAGUCAGCGGUGAAAUGCCCCCGCUCAACGGGGUGAAGUGCCAUUGAUACUGCCUGGCUGGAAUGCGGAUGCGGUGGGAGGAAUGUGUGGUGUAGCGGUGAAAUGCAUAGAUAUCACACAGAACACCGAUUGCGAAGGCAUCUCACGAAUCCGCGAUUGACGCUGAUGCACGAAAGCGUGGGUAUCAAACAGGAUUAGAUACCCUUGUAGUC